rnacentral:tRNA from 2 species
GGAACGGUGCCCGAGUGGUUGAAGGGGCACGCCUGGAAAGCGUGUAUAGGGGCAACUCUAUCGAGGGUUCGAAUCCCUCUCGUUCCGCCA